ACGGCGGCUUUAACUAUAAGAGUCCUACGGUGGAAAAUUCGCCGCCGUAGUAAAAUCUGACUAUAUGCUGGAAAAUCCGGUGUAUCCCGUGCUACUCUUGAAAUAGAGUAAAAAAGCAACAGGUGCGGAUAAUCAGCAGGAAAGGUUCUUAAAGAAAAAUUUAAGAAAAUCCUCAGAGACUAUACGUCAGACUCCAGUUAGAUAAUUUUGUAUCUGAUGGAGAUGAUAUAGUCCGAUCCUUAUAGCGAUAUAAGG
rnacentral:ncRNA from 1 species